UGUGGCUGGGCUAGAGGGCUACCAGGGCUUCUUGAGCACCCUGCCUUGGAGCGUGUACAGCCACAUUGGGACUGAGAUACCGCUAGACUCCUACGGGUAGCAGCCGUGGGGAAUAUUGCCCAAUGGGCUCACGCCUGAUGCCUUAACGCUGCGUGGUGGAUGACGGCCUUCGGGUUGUAAACACCUUUUGCUUGGGACCAAGAAUAAUUGCGGGUACCUGGACAAAAAGCACCGGCUAACUACGUGCCCGCAGCCGCGGCAAUACGUACGGUACGAACGUUGUCCGGAAUUACUGGGCGUAAAGAGCUCGUGGGUGGUUUGU
rnacentral:rRNA from 1 species